AUUGAACGCUGGCGGCAGGCCUAACACAUGCAAGUCGAGCGGAUGAAGGGAGCUUGCUCCUGGAUUCAGCGGCGGACGGGUGAGUAAUGCCUAGGAAUCUGCCUUGUAGUGGGGGAUAACGUCCGUAAACGGGCGCUAAUACUGCAUACGUCCUGAUGUAGAAAGUGGGGGAUCUUCGGACCUCACGCUAUCAGAUGAGCCUAGGUCGGAUUAGCUAGUUGGUGUGGUAAAGGCCUACCAAGGCGACGAUCCGUAACUGGUCUGAGAGGAUGAUCAGUCACACUGGAACUGAGACACGGUCCAGACUCCUACGGGAGGCAGCAGUGGGGAAUAUUGGACAAUGGGCGAAAGCCUGAUCCAGCCAUGCCGCGUGUGUGAAGAAGGUCUUCGGAUUGUAAAGCACUUUAAGUUGGGAGGAAGGGCAGUAAGUUAAUACCUUGCUGUUUUGACGUUACCAACAGAAUAAGCACCGGCUAACUUCGUG
rnacentral:rRNA from 1 species